rnacentral:rRNA from 1 species
UACGGGGGGGGCAAGCGUUGUUCGGAAUUACUGGGCGUAAAGGGCUCGUAGGCGGUGUCUUAAGUUUGUUGUGAAAUCUCCCGGCUUAACCGGGAGGGUGUGGCGAAUACUGAGAUGCUGGAGUGCCGGAGAGGUAAGCGGAAUUCCUGGUGUAGCGGUGAAAUGCGUAGAUAUCAGGAGGAACACCUGCGGUGUAGACGGCUUACUGGACGGUAACUGACGCUGAGGCACGAAAGCGUGGGUAGCAAACAGG